rnacentral:rRNA from 1 species
GAUGAACGCUGGCGGCGUGCCUAAUACAUGCCAGUCGAGCGAACGGACGAGAAGCUUGCUUCUCUGAUGUUAGCGGCGGACGGGUGAGUAACACGUGGAUAACCUACCUAUAAGACUGGGAUCACUUCGGGAAACCGGAGCUACUACCGGAUAAUAUUUUGAACCGCAUGGUUCAAAAGUGAAAGACGGUCUUGCUGUCACUUAUAGAUGUAUCCGCGCGGCAUUAGCUAGUUGGUAAGGUAACGGCUUACCAAGGCAACGAUGCAUAGCCGACCUGAGAGGGUGAUAGGCCACACUGGAACUGAGACACGGUCCAGACUCCUACGGGAGGCAGCAGUAGGGAACCUUCCGCAAUGGGCGAAAGCCUGACGGAGCAACGCCGCGUGAGUGAUGAAGGUCUUCGGAUCGUAAAACUCUGUUACUAGGGAAGAACAUAUGUCUAUGUAAAUGUGGCCAUCUUGACGGUACCUAAUGAGAAAGCCCCGGCUAACUACGUG